GCUUAACACAUGCAAGUCGAGGGGCAGCGCAGUGUAGCAAUACAUGGGCGGCGACCGGCGCACGGGUGCGUAACGCGUAUCCAACCUUCCCGAUACUUAGGGAUAGUCUUCCGAAAGGGAGAUUAAUACCUGAUGGUGUUUCAAUUCCGCAUGUUAAUGAAACUAAAGAUUUAUCGGUUAUGGAUGGGGAUGCGUAAGAUUAGGUAGUAGGCGGGGUAACGGCCCACCUAGCCGACGAUCUUUAGGGGUUCUGAGAGGAAGGUCCCCCACACUGGUACUGAGACACGGACCAGACUCCUACGGGAGGCAGCAGUGAGGAAUAUUGGUCAAUGGGCGGAAGCCUGAACCAGCCAAGUAGCGUGAAGGAUUACAGCCCUACGGGUUUUAAACUUCUUUUAUAUAAGAGUAAUGUGCACUACGUGUAGUGUAUUGCAAGUAUUAUAUGAAUAAGCAUCGGCUAACUCCGUGCCAGCAGCCGCGGUAAUACGGAGGAUGCGAGCGUUAUCCGGAUUUAUUGGGUUUAAAGGGAGCGUAGGCGGGAUAUUAAGUCAGUCGUCAAAGCCUGUGGCUCAACCACAGCCCGCGAUUGAUACUGGUAACCUUGAGUGCGGAUGAGGUGGAUGGAAUUCGUGGUGUAGCGGUGAAAUGCUUAGAUAUCACGAA
rnacentral:rRNA from 1 species